CUACAGUUGGCAUCCAUGCCAUACUUGUGACAUACAGUUCAUUCAGGUUUAGCUCAUGUCAGCUACGAUGUAGUUGGAAUCAUUUUUAAUAACUGGCUCUCUGAAGUUUAUUUUGCUGCCACCAAGGUGAACGUCUUUCUGCCCACCAUCUUUUCUCAUUUCAACUUUGACCCUUCGCCUCUGACCCAACAACACAUGGCAUGCUUCUGUCCUCGUUUAUUCAAAACUAUAUUUAUUUAUUUGUUUUUUCAUCAUAUUAUUGUACAAAACAACGGAAACGUAGCUAAUACACCAGUAUUUAUUGUUUUGAGUGGUCUUUUUAGUGGUCUGGGGAUCCAGUAUUGCGUCGCUGAUUGCAUUGAUUGACAGAUCUUCCCUGAAGUUGUUUUAUUGCGUCAAAGUGCAUUCACAUUAUGACGUUGGCUGAGUUACCGUAUAAAAUGCGAUAGUUUAUCUCUUUGGUAACCACUUGGUAAAGUUUUACAUGAUGGGAACAUAGGCUCCAGCCAUAGACUUUAACCAUGGAGGAUAAUAAGAGUUUAAACGAAGAUGAUCCACGUGAUCAUCAAGGUUUGGAAGGUCAAGUCCAGAAAAUGAAGAAUGAUAUCCUGGGUUUAAACUAUCCAGAAGAUAGUGAAGUGAAGGAUCCCCUGCCUCAGAUCGAGCUGAAGGCUGUGACAAGGAGAAAAGUUAAGACCAAGAGGAGGACCAGUGCCAACAGGUCCACAGUUGAACAGAGCACUGAUACUGAUGCAGCUGAGAGAGAUUUUGUUGAUAAUCAGAAUGAUGAAGAUGAGGUGAAGAAGGAUCCCCUGCCUCAGAUGGAGCAGGAUGCCGUAAAGAGAAAUAAAGUCAAGACCAAGAGGACCAAGAGAAACAAAGCGGAGCAGAUCACUGAUACAGAUGCAGGUCCCUCUACAUCUGUGGAAUUCUCUGGGAUGACAGUUCAGGGGACAUCUCACCAGGGACAAUCUAAUGAAAAGAUCCUAAAUGAGUGUGUCUCCAGGGCCUGUCAGACCAGGGCUCUUGACCUCCCGCUAAUCGAUCCGGAUGCUUUCAACCCGAUUAUCAUCCGGUUUCUGGAAAAACUUACUGAGGAGCAAUGGAGGCAGUUAAGCAUUGGCAGGAUGGACCCUGUGAUGAGGGCAUUGCUUGCAGAGAUGUGCCUGGAGAUUGUGCGGUUUGUAUCUGAGGCCAUCCUGGAGGUCAUCAUCCCUGCAAUUUUCCGUUUUGUACGGAUAUACAGCCAUGUGUCUCCAGUAUCCGGCAAGUCUCUGACAGAAUCAGAGAGAUCCUCUAGCACAAACCUGAAGGUUCGCAAAAGAGGCAGCAGCAAAUCCUCAAGGUCUUGCACGGCCAAAUCAAGCUCCUCUCGUAAUGGGUCUCAGACAGUGUUGCCAAAUACUCAGGGAGAUGGUGAGUCGAUAUCAUCUGAGCCACUCAGUGACAUUUUUGGGAUCACUGAGGACAGUCUCCUCACUAGUGUCCAGGAUUCCUUCAAAGAGUCGCUGAACAAUGUCCUCUGUAUCCAAAGAGAGGGCCAGGUAGACACUCAAAGUCUAUCCCGGGUUAUUGUUGGAGAAGUGUCAAAGAAGGUCAAUUCCAUAAUCUCUGUGGCCAUCCAAACUCCCGUCUCUGGGCGAAUGUCCCCUGUCAUUUUUGCCAGUGGUGGUGUCUCCAGCACCAAGGUGGUUGAGGAGAUGGUGUCUGGCGUUUCCAACAUACUUCAGAUGUACAUUAAUGGGAAGAGUGUUGAGCAGAGUGUUGUUCUCAGAGAGGAUGGUGUUGAGGUGGAUAUGACACAUUUAACAGGACAGGUCAUGACAGCCCUCAGUGGCACUGUUUUGAACUUCAGCAAUAAGGAGGAAAAUGAUCCCGACAAGAGGGAACUGCUUUGUGUUGUUGCUGACCAUAUGAAUAUGCUUGAAGCUUGUAAAAGUCCUGAGGAGAUGCUAAAACAAGGAGAGAGCAACCUCAAUAUCAAAGGUGCCAAAUCUAGUCUUCGUCUGUCAACACAAAGUAUGGACAGACUACUCACUGAGGAGUUUCAGACCAAGGCCACUGAAUCGAUCCGGGAGAUUGUUAAAAGAUUCAGGGGUUGUACAUCAUGUUGUUCUGGCACUACAUCAUCUAGUCCAACUCCUAGGAUUGGUGAGAUCAGAGACCUUAUGAUUGAGCCUGAGGCCUCUGAGUUGGUAAGUACCUUUGUUUCAGACAUGGACAAUCUUACCCAGUUUAUCAGGGCAUCCUGCUCUCCUGCACAGAGUGAGCAGAUCCUUCUUGAAAACCAUCAGAGUAAGAUCUGGUCUUACACUGUUGGCUGUUACUACGACAUGAAAAAUACGCUGAAGAGGAUUCUUACCUGUCCAGAAAAAGGGGAUCUCGCAAGUACAUUUGUGGGGAGCACAAAAGAUUAUUUCACAAUGGUUCCAACUUUGUGCCUGGACGUCGGUCAUUCCAGUAAUGGUGAGGCUGACACAUCCGACUCCAUUUCUUGUAAACCACUUUUAAUAACCCCCUCAUCUAUGAAUGAACAAAAAGGACAAAGUGAGACCCCAAAACCUUUCUUGGCUCUCAACAAGUAUUUGCAAGACCAAGUCCUCCUUGACACCACAAAAGCGAUUGCCAGCCAGGUUCUAGUCUUGUAUAAGACAGAGUUGAUGGAGAAGUUCUCAUCUUCUGUUGGAGAGUGUGAUUCUGAAGAGUCUCUGGAGGCCAUUCUAUUUGUGGAUGGGAUCAUGUCUGACUUGAAUGAUUUCACCAGUUCUUGUUCCGCCUCACCAUCUGAGUUGUUAGACAGUGAACAAUGUCUCUCCCAUCUCACUUUUCCACUUGGUAUGCAGGACAGCACCACCAACAGUGAAUCUACCCAGAGUCUUCCAGUUAUAAAUAUGAAGAAACUCUCCAGUGUGUCUUUCCAGACAAAGGCUAGAAAGGCAGUGAGUGAAGCUCUGAGAUCUGUCAACCCUUUUACAAACAGCUUACUGGGAGACUCUGAAGCAUCUAUAUUACUGGACACUUUUGUAACAGAUGUGAAGACUAUUGUUCAGUCCAUGCAGGCACAUGAAUCUGAAAUUCUCAGAAUUUCAAAAGUGAGCACCCUUUCUGCUGCUCGUAUUAUAUAUCAUAGAUUUCGAGAAAUGCUGAGGCGGUUUCUCACUCCCUGCCAAGACUCUGUAAAGGUCAUCGAUGGUGUUACACCAAUACAUGACGAGACUCUCAAACAGGCUCCUAGUGAAAGUUUAGAUUCUCAGGUGACUUGUAAUAGUGAUUCUCCUGAAAUCCAAGCGGACCUUCAAACCUGUACCAAGGAGGUCAUUAGUCAGAUCCUCACUGUGUAUCACUCUGAGGAAUCCAUGGAGAAAUGCCUCUCUAGCCUAAAAGGAGAUACAGAAGACAUGUCCAAGCUUUUGGACGCCGUUGUUUCUCAGAUUGACGUCCUUGCCGCCUCCAAAUCAUAUUUAUCUGUUGAUGACUAUGCUGUCAAUACACAGGACAAUUUGCAUGGUGAGAUCAACAAUGAUGAAGAGGAAGCAUCCUCUAGAAGUCUUAAAUCCACAGCCUUUGACAAACUAUGUACUGAUGAGUUUCAAACUAAAGCCUCACAUUUGGCUGGUGGGAUCCUCCAAUCAGGGUUGAUUGGCAAUGUAAAUACCAGCCUUGAUGGUAGAAGUGCAGAGUCCAGUAAUGAUGGUGAUGAUAGAGAUUUCAAAAUCCUUCAGAGCCGUGGAACUCCACCUUUGUUCACCUCUUCUCUACACACCAAUUCUGCAGCAUCCAACAUCGUCAUAAGCAUCACUAAAGACCUUAAUAGCUUCACCCAGAUGACUAAAAUGUCUGAUGCUUCAGUGUCUGGCCAGUUAGAGAGAUCCGUGUCAGCUUCAACCCUUCCUGUCAGUGUUCACAACGGGGUCAAUGUGAAAGGAAAGAUCAUUUGGCCAGGCACUGUUAACCUGUUCAACAAUGUGUUCGUCAAGGUCAAGGAUUUUUUUGCCCAGCAACAACCGGUACUCCUAGACAAUGUGGUUGAGGCCCCCAAACAUGCCAAAUCCAUAUGCAGAACAGCUACUUCUACACAAAUGACUUACAGUGAACAUGAAGGCAGCCAGACCAGCAUGGUAAAUUAUUCCAAAGCCUUAAUUAGUCAGACUUUGAUGACAAUCCAGAGGAGAGUGUCUAUGUCAGAGAGGAUGAGCACCUCAGAGAAAGGCCUCUUGACUCGUUCCAUCGUGGGCUCCAUGUUGGAGGAUGUUGACAUGGUGAGAACUGAUGGACACGAGAUACACCAGCCAUCCUCCUCAAAGUCCUCCCUUUCCAUCACCUCUGCCAUGACCAGAGGGUCCCAGAGUGAUUUUACAAAUUCUCUUCCAGGCACUCCAGUCCCCAAUGAGUGGCCUGUUGAAAUCUAUUGUCCUAUCAUUAGGAGUUCGGUCAUUGAUAUGAGUGACUCUUCAACUCAUUCACAAGGGUCAACAAAUUACACAAGGCAAACCAUCUCUGCCAUAGUUGACACUGUUAUGGAGGUCAUUCCAAGAGAAGAUACGGAACACAUAGCCACUGCAGAUGAUGUCACUUCUUUUACAAGAAGACUUGCGAGACUCAGCCCCAGGGGCGGUCUUCAGAACUUCUCACAUGAGCUCACUGACAAAGUUUAUGAGCUCAUAAAAAGUCACAACACCCCCCAGGCUCUUUUUGUGCCAGCUGGCAAGAGCGUGUCUGACUCUAUUCUUUUGAAGCUGAAGACAGAAUUGAAUGCUUCUGAAGAAUCCAGGGAGUUUCCAUCUGACCUUGUGUACUCCUUUGCUACGGAGUCAAUAAAACGUCUGCUACAGCAGAUUGUCUUCUGGCUUCCUCCACCAUCACAAGGAUCAGAUUUCUGCCAAACUAUCAUCUCUGAUGGUUCUCUGCAGGAAACAAGUCAGCUUAUCCCGAGCUCUUCUGCCAUCUCCAUUAGUUCCUCACAGGUUUACUGUGACACAAAGAGCCUUUUCACCAAUAUAAUGGUCAAUCAGGUCAUGUAUACCUGUUCUGUGGCCUCCAAUUCAUCAGAAGAAUUAUCAGAGUUGAUGAACGUAAUCAAUGGGUUGUCCCCAACUGAUGCUGGAACACUUGACUCUGACAGACCGGCUCUCAUGACCACUAGCCGUCAGUCUAGUGCCAAAUCAUUGCCUAGACCCUCUCUGUCUGGCAACAGCACACACAACGGUGGAACUGUGGAUUAUCAAGUUUUAGGAGAGGUGGAAUCCAAGAUGGACAACAAAGAUCUGGAGAUGUCUAGUGUCUCUGUGCAUCCAUCAACUCCAUCAGCCAUGGACUCUGAUACACAUGCAUCAUUUGACUCCACUAGCAAUGACUACACCUCUUUGGUACUUUUACUGAUUGUUAGACUGCUGUCAAUGAUCACCCCUAUCACAUUACUGGAAUCCUCUGACAUUGGUGAAACAUCAAGAGUUCUCACAAAGAGGAUUCUGUCUGAGUUCUGUGGCACCUCAGGCCUUGAACCAACUCAAGCCUACCCCAGAAUCUGAAAAUCAAAAAGAUUUUCAAGGCUGUCUACAAGGGGCUUCUUCAAGAAUUUGGGUCAGAGAAGAUGCUCCAGGUUGCAAUGAAGUCAACGGAUUAUGCAUUUGACGAUGCCCUGGUCAAAUCAUUAACUAGGGAACUACUAACUAAAUGCAAUGAGGCUAGCUCUUCACCUCCCUCCAAUACCCAGUUGUCAUCACACAAUGCACUUGGCAGUGACGAGGUAGGUAAUUAUGGGCUUCCAACAACUGGUAGAAAGGAAAAGAAGAGAGGAAGAUUCAGCACUCUCUGUGGACUCCACCCAAAGGUACAUAUGUCAUCAAAAUACAAAUUAUAAAGAUGAUUUGUAUUCAUUACAUACAGUAUGAUGGUAAACACUGAUACCUUUUGUGUGCAAUUUGUCCUACUGCUGAAAUGACUGUCUGUUACCCAGUGUACAAAGAAGGUCAACAAGAAGAACCACUGCACUCCAACACCUUCCCAGAACCAGACCCCUGCCGGUAGUGAAACAGCAAUUGUCAAUGAUCAAGAAUCCUGCCGAACAGAGAGUGUGUGCUCCACCAAGAAGAAACCAAGGAAGCG